rnacentral:tRNA from 1 species
UGAGGUCUUAGCUUAAUUAAAGUGACUGGGUUGCAAUCAGUAGAUGUAGGUUAAGGUCCUACAGGUCUU